rnacentral:rRNA from 1 species
AUUGAACGCUGGCGGCAGGCCUAACACAUGCAAGUCGAGCGAGCGGCGGACGGGUGAGACAUGUCUGGGAAACUGCCCGAUGGAGGGGGAUAACUCCUGGAAACGGUAGCUAAUACCGCAUACCAUCAGAUGUGCUCAGAUGGGAUUAGCUAGUAGGUGGGGUAACGGCUCACCUAGGCGACGAUCCCUAGCUGGUCUGAGAGGAUGACCAGCCACACUGGAACUGAGACACGGUCCAGACUCCUACGGGAGGCAGCAGUGGGGAAUAUGGCACAAUGGGCGCAAGCCUGAUGCAGCCAUGCCGCGUGUGGGAAGAAGGCCUUCGGGUUGUAAAGCACUGUCAGCGGGGAGGCGUUACCCGCAGAAGAAGCACCGGCUAACUCCGUGCCAGCAGCCGCGGUAAUAC